rnacentral:rRNA from 1 species
UACAGAGGGGGCAAGCGUUGUUCGGAAUUACUGGGCGUAAAGGGCGCGUAGGCGGCCUGCUAAGUCGAACGUGAAAUCCCUCGGCUUAACCGGGGAACUGCGUCUGAUACUGGAUGGCUUGAGUGUGGGAGAGGGAUGCGGAAUUCCAGGUGUAGCGGUGAAAUGCGUAGAUAUCUGGAGGAACACCGGUGGCGAAGGCGGCAUCCUGGACCGGUAUUGACACUGAAUAGCGAAAGCCAGGGGAGCAAACGGG